GACGUCUGAGCUGGACGUGGAGAACAAGCAGUGUGCUGGGCAGAAGGGAGGCAGGGAGCCAGUGGACGGUAGGGUCACCCCACGGUGCAGAGGCAUGGGCAACAGCCGAGCCUCCGGGAGACAGCAGGGAGAGGGGUGAAGUGGGAAGUCAGCCCAUUGGGGCCCCAGUCCUCCUGACAUCAUCCGGAAGGCAAUGGGAAGAUGUGGAAGCUAGUGCAGCCCCUGAGCAGUGCAGCCAGACUUGUGUUCUAGAAAGAUCCAUCUCGCUGCUGAGUGGGAAGGACAGGAGGAGGGGCCGCCAGAGGCGUGGGACUGCCAGGAGCUGACACAUCAUUCAGGCAGAGCUGAGGAGGACGAGGGCUCAGCGAUUCAAAGACUGCAGACAAGGACUCUUCCUCCUGCCACACGUUCGCAGGGCUGGCCGGGCCCGAGGGGACGGAACCCGUCUCCGCCAGCCCAGCCCAGAAUGGCCCUGCUGUGGAAGGGGGCCGCCUGGUGAAGGACACCACCGCCUCCUUGAGAAGUGCUCGGGGUGGAGAGGGUUGGGCAGGAGAGGUCUAGCGUCUCCGAUUUCCUCCAGGGCCCAGGAAUCCAUCUGCCCGUCCGGAGCUCAGCAUCCCCGCCAGCGCCCUGCCCGGGAAACGCACCCAGGGGACAGCACCCGUGGGCUCAGGAGCAGGAGGCCUCUGCUACCUGGCUGUGACAGAGGACACCGAGCAGUGCCAGGAGGGAGCCCCACGGCCUCGCCAACAGAACGCUUGUCAUCAAUCAUGCCCCUCUGUAAGCAUUCAACGCCACCCUGGAAGCCACUGGACAAGCCACCAUUCCCACUUCCAGGGAGGAAACUGAGGCACAAGGAGGCAGUCACCGGCCCCGACCCACACAGGCUGGUGGGCUUACAUGGGUCAGUGCUGUGCUACAUCCCACGACUGCCCGCCCCCCACCCAGGGGCCACCUCCGUGGAGCGGCCAGAGGGUUCGGGUUCCAGUUCCUAAUAGACUUGGGCCACUUUUGUUCCCGCAGAUGUCCUGCCCUCAAGUAUCAACGUUGAAGUCCAUGUGAGUGGGUCCCUGAACAGGGCAGGGCAGCCCCCCGCCCCCAGGACAGGCCAGAGGCCAGGCCGGGCCCUCCAGGAGGUGUGGCCCUGGGAGGCUGUGUCCCCGGACAUGGGCUGGGCCGGUGAGCACAGAGCAGACCCCUCGCCUCCGUCCCAGGGUUUUCCAUGCCCGUGGAUGAGGCCCAGCUGCCGCUGGGGAGCAGGGGGCCCAGCCCAGCCCCGGCCCCAGACCUGCGGGCAAAGGGAGGGAUUUGGGAGCGUCCCCAGAGCAGCCCACACCUGCCUUGCACAGGCAGCGGCUGUUUCUUUUCCAAACGUGAAGCCACAGGGCAUUUUUUAACAGAGAAAAUGCGCUCGUGGUGGCGAGAGAAAAGGCUCUGUAAUGGGUAGAGGCCAGCAGGCAAAAUGGAAUUUUUUGAACCGUUAAGCCUGGAGGGGGGAGGGGGGCGGUGAAGAAACGUCCCAGGAGGCCCCAGAGGAGGAGGCCUGUCUGGCGUCUGGGCCCUGCGUCCCUGGUGUCACAGUAUGGUCUGAAGGAAGCUCAGGGCAUGCCACGCCAGGCUGGCUGGCUCUUUGCACAAGCAAGCCUGAAAGACUCAAGGCUGUCUGCACCCGGCAGGGGGGCGUCAGGCCCAGCGAAAGGAGGAGGAGGCGGUGGGCGCGGCGUGGAGGGAAGCCCUCUGGGCAGGCCACGCCCUGCUUCCCCAGGCUCCACUUACAGAGCAGGCCAGGGCUGAGGGACCCAGACGCCCAGAGGGGGCCGGAGCCGUCUGAGGCCUCGCAGUGGACGAGGCGCCAGGCUGGGGCCAGAAGCCAGGCGGCCCCCUGCUGCAGAGAGCCGACAUCUUGGGGGCCGGUCCAGUGGUCCUUGCAGUAGCCCCCAGGUGGGCCAGAGCCAUGAUGACAGCCAUGAUCUGCUCGCACGCCCAGGGCCCCUCGUCCCCGUGAAGGGCCUCUGCACACCCAGGUUCCGUGGAUUCAGGGGCCUCACGUACCGCCCGCCUCAAAAGUGUCCCAUCUCCGUCCUCCCUCCGCAAGACUGGACUUCCACCACGGCCUCGCUCCGGGGGCUGAGGCAGGGCCCCAGGCUGCUCCCCACUGAAAUGCAGAUGCUCCCAAUGUGAGCCCUCAGCUCGCACCUCCUGCAGCUGCGUUAAGCAAGAGCCCGGGAGGAAUGAGGGCUGCAUCUUCCUCAGACCCCCUGCCCCUCUGGGCCUGGAUUUAAGGACCCUUCAUAAAUCGCGUCCUCAAACCUUCUCUCCUGAACAGGAAGAGCCACUCUUCUUCGGUCAUAUUUCCCUUUUUGCCCUGGCCACUAAGAAGCUCUGCACUGCACUCGGGGCCAACCAUAUGGCCAUUCUGCCUGCCUCCCCACUUGAGCCUGCCGCCAGGGUUGGCUUGUCUUUCCAUUUCCCAUCUGUCUUCCUUGAUAUGUGGGAGUCCUGGCGAAGCCCCUCACACCUUGGCGUCCACCUUCAUCUGCCCUAGCCCGCACCGGCCUGCUCUGAGCCUGAGCCCAGCUGGCCCUUUAAGAAGCUGGGGGCUGCUGCUGGCACAGUGCACAGUUGGCCCAGCGCGCAGACGGGCACGUUCCUGAUCUUUCUGGAAGGCUGAGUUGGAGAGGAGACAAAAUGUUCUUGCACAGCUUGGCCUCUACGAGACUCGACCCCAGAGGAGGGCAUCUCCACUCCGGAGGGAUCCCCCAUUCCUCAUUCAUUCCCCUGGCAGGAAGCAGAACCUUCUGGAAGGCGCAGAGGUGACCCGCCCUGGCUGUGAACCUUGCUGUCCGGCUACGGCCGUGCUCAAGGAUGUGUCCAGGACCACUGACUGGCCGGUCCACAGCAGGACCUGUGUCAUCUGCCCAAAGCAACACGGCUAGUUAAAAGUUUUAUUGAUUGAACACAGUUGAGCAACAGAGGUGAGAGAUUCGGCUCUCCUCGCGGUAUCUUCUUUUCCAAACACAUGAUUUUCCUUGAAGUCAAAAAGAGCUUCCAUAAACAGCCGACCCACAGUUCACAGAGCACCCCAGCAGGCACGGUCCCCAGAGGGACUGCCGACACCCGGAGUCCAUCCAGGCCACGGCCACGGCCUGGGAUCAGCCCAAAACUGGUGGAGCCCAUUAAGGGUCACGACCUGGUAAUUUAUAAAGCACCCACUGUGUCCAUGGUCCACGGGGCCACAAAGGCCACCAGUUCGCUUCCUGGGAGGAGCUUACCUUUGGAAGCUAAAACUGUGACAGCUCUGCACCCAAGCAGGGGGCUCCGGGAAGAGGGGCCUUUCCAAAGGCUUCUGGGAGGAGGCGGAGAUGGCCCGGGGCUCCACAGACGGGGGAGAUUCAGAAGCUGGGUCCAAGUGACAGGAGAGCCCAGUGUCCUCGCUACACCACGUAGCAUGUCACCUGACCUCCGGGAGCCUCAGUUUCCUUUCAAAUGGGACUCACGUCAGUACCUCCCUCAGAGUCAGGGUCAGUGGGCUCUCCUCGCUGACCCACCCCCCGGGCCAGCCUCCUGGGCUCCUGCCCACCAGGGAAAAGGAAGAAACGAGGCCACGGGAACUUUGUCUCCUGCCACGUGGAAGCAGCCAGCCGUGGUGAGGCCACACACUGUCACACAGACUUCAGAUGCCAGAGAACCAAGAGGGCGUCCAGCAGGGUGAGGCCCUGUGGCCUGCUGCCUGGUGGGGUUCUGGGACUCCGGGAAACUGUGCUGCCACCGGCGCCCCAGGUUGGCCUCAGACCGGGCUGGCGGAGCCGCCCAGUGUUUGAAACCUCGCUUGACUGGCAAUAGCCGGCCUGCCAAGGAAUCUGCAGAUCUCCACAUUCAUGAAUGCCCUGUGGGGUGUGACCCCGUGAGACGCAGGCAGGGGUCACAGAGAAGCGCCUGCGAGCCCCCCUCCUGAUAAGCCACACGAGUGAAGGGGAGUGGUCCUCAGAGCACUGGGCUCUUCUUGGCUGGGCCGGCUGCUUCUUCCAAGGAGCAGCUUGCCUGGGGUCCAGAUGCCCAAGCCCCUGAUGAGGAUCCAGCCACGGAAUGACAGGGCUGGACAGUGGGCCCGGGCCCAUCGCUGGAGCCACACACUGGCCCCGGCGCCCAGUUCCCCACCAUAGCUGGAGCAAAAGGCAAAAGCCACCUCCCCAAUCUGUGUUGAGACUUCACGGACGGCAGAACAGUGCCGGGCUCUGCUCCCGCCCGCCAGCCUGUGCCACCUCCUCCGUCAGAGCGGGCUCCUCCAGCAUCCAUCCCUUUUCAGGCCACCUCCUAGAGACCAGCUGGCCACCCGUCUACAGCAGCCCACCUCGGCCCCUCGGGCAUCCCCUUGCGGCCUCCUCUCAAAGCGCUAAGCUGUCUCUAAGUUGGCCUGCUCUGUGAUCUGAUCCGUGUUCAUCUUCUGCCUCCGUGGGGCCUGACACGCUCCUGCUGCAUCUCCCGAGCCGAGAGCCCUGGAGGGAGGUCACUAUCUGCUGAAUGACGACUGAAUGUUGAAAAGGAAAAUGCUCUGUGACCAACACACCUGAGUUGAAUCCCAGCCCUGCUGCUGCCUUGUGACCGCGGGCCAGUUACUUAAUCUUUCUAGUCCAUAAAACAGAGAGAGUGAUGCCGAGGUCCCCAGGCCAGCGCCCUCUCCCCUCCUCUCUGCCUGCCCACAAUCCUCAGAAUGACAGGAUUGAUUCAAAGGCCUUGGUGCCACCGCCACCCCAAAGGCAAAAGCUGCAGUCGCUCUGCUCCCUCGGUGCCCGGGCGCUCUCAGGAGAGGCUCCGAUGUGUUGACACGAGGGCAUUGUGGGCACCAAAAUAAUCCGAUUGCACUUGGAGAGAGGGAGAGCGAGGGGGAGGGAUCAUCGAGCAUCAGACAGGCAGCUAUUCUCCAGGAGGCCAUUUCAUCGUUCUUUCUCAUAUUCCCG
ensembl:lncRNA